rnacentral:snoRNA from 1 species
GUUGCUGUGAGUAACUAAUAAGAAAGCCCAACCGAUCAAUUGGUCCUUCAGUGAAGUACUAAUUUACGCUUGGCUUCUGAGACAA